rnacentral:rRNA from 1 species
GACGAACGCUGGCGGCGUGCUUAACACAUGCAAGUCGAACGGAAAGGCCCUGCUUGCAGGGUACUCGAGUGGCGAACGGGUGAGUAACACGUGGGUGAUCUGCCCUGCACUUCGGGAUAAGCCUGGGAAACUGGGUCUAAUACAGGAUAGGAGCCAUUUUUCGUGUGAUGGUUGGAAAGUUUUUUCGGUGUAGGAUGAGCUCGCGGCCUAUCAGCUUGUUGGUGGGGUAAUGGCCUACCAAGGCGGCGACGGGUAGCCGGCCUGCGAGGGUGGACGGCCACAUUGGGACUGAGAUACGGCCCAGACUCCUACGGGAGGCAGCAGGUGGGAAUAUUGCACAAUGGGCGCAAGCCUGAUGCAGCGACGCCGCGUGGGGGAUGACGGCCUUCGGGUUGUAAACUCCUUUCGCUAGGGACGAAGCUUUUUGUGACGGUACCUAGAUAAGAAGCACCGGCUAACUACGUG